rnacentral:rRNA from 1 species
AUUGAACGCUGGCGGCAGGCCUAACACAUGCAAGUCGAACGGUAACAGGAAGAAGCUUGCUUCUUUGCUGACGAGUGGCGGACGGGUGAGUAAUGUCUGGGAAACUGCCUGAUGGAGGGGGAUAACUACUGGAAACGGUAGCUAAUACCGCAUAAUGUCGCAAGACCAAAGAGGGGGACCUUCGGGCCUCUUGCCAUCGGAUGUGCCCAGAUGGGAUUAGCUAGUAGGUGGGGUAACGGCUCACCUAGGCGACGAUCCCUAGCUGGUCUGAGAGGAUGACCAGCCACACUGGAACUGAGACACGGUCCAGACUCCUACGGGAGGCAGCAGUGGGGAAUAUUGCACAAUGGGCGCAAGCCUGAUGCAGCUAUGCCGCGUGUAUGAAGAAGGCCUUCGGGUUGUAAAGUACUUUCAGCGGGGAGGACGGGAGUAAAGUUAAUACCUUUGCUCAUUGACGUUACCCGCAGAAGAAGCACCGGCUAACUCCGUG